CAUUGCUCAUUUUUGCCUAUUCAUUAUUUGAAAAUAUAUUUGCAGUGGGUUAUUAUGUAUGACUUUCUAAAACUAAUAACAAAUACUAUUGUUGGUGACAAAUUGGUUAUGAAUCAAGCAACAUCGAGGGUGCCAUUCGGGACACAUUAAAUUGAGCCAAAAAAUAAUGUUUUUGCUAGAUUGUAUAUGUAUAUUAAUAUUGUCAAAAAUAUUACUAUUUUUA